GCUUGAGUUACGUCCUGUGCAGUUUGAAGCACCAGCUGAACAGGACAAACCAAGGAAGGAACAGGUGAAGAAAGCUUUGUCAAGAUGUUCCUCAACAUUAGAAAGAGGAUGCCAGUGAUGAUGAUGAUGAUGAUGAUGAUGAAUGUGACCUUUCUGAGGUGACCAGUGCAAGCAGUGAUGACGUUUGGACCUAUGAGUGGAGCUUGGGCCACAGCCUGAGUCCUGAGUGGGAACUUAAUAUCUGUGAUACUGACAUACAACCCAGUAGGUCUCCAGGCUCUUGGGACAGUUCUCUUAGGAGCAAAUCUCGGAGCUCAGAGAGGAGCACUGAUAUGACCAGAUUUGACCCCUCCCCCCAUCGUAGCAUUGACAGCCCCUGGAUGGAUGAGAGAAGAGGAAGAGACAGGUCUCGACGACCAUCAGAGUCUACUGGAAAUCGUGAAAGAGAGAGUGGCUUCUUCUCUCCAGACAGAAAAGAGAACAGUCAGACUGAGGAAGGUGCUAAAAAACGAUACCGUUACUUUGAGAGAGGACAUCCUCUGCCUAGUAACUAUGUCCCAGAGCCCAAAGCCUGUGUUCCCUUCAGGACUGUUAACCUAGGAAUGCCCUCUCAAAGAAGGAACUCUGUAACAUUUAUGCAGGACAGCUGGAGAAGUGAGUCUCCUCAAAGGUACACAUAUCACUCAAAUUUCAGAAGAGGGGCUGAUUCACAGACAGCGUCUCCCUCGCGUCAUAACUCUGUGAGCCCAGACCGGCACAAAUUAAGUGAAUCUUCUGCAGGAUACCAAAGAGGGAGUUCCCUCUCAAGGGGACAGUCACGGUCCCGUGUCCCAUCACAGCUUCCAUCCCAUGCUCCCUCCAGGCAUUCUUCACGCUGCUCCAGUCCUUCACGCAGAAGACCAUCUGGAUCUCAGUCUGCCACUCCAUCACACAAUCGGACAGCAAACUAUCAAGAACAAAACUGUGACUAUGAUGCACCGAACCGGAGCAGCCGAGGAUCCAGGACUCCUUCACAGUCUUCACACAAACACAGUUUAGACUCUGAGAAACUGUACAAGAACCUUGAGUCCAUCUCCCAUCGAACUUCUCCAAAUCAACUCAGGUCCUAUGAAGGCUCUCAUUCAUCAAACAGGACAGUAGCCAACAGUGCUGUGCACACUCACGCACGAAACAGCAGAGAAGUGUCUCCUUCCAGGAACAGCUUUGGGACUCACAGUCACACCCCCCAAAAGGAGAAUGGGUCCAGAGACAGCAGGCUCAGCGCCUCACAGGGGUCAUGGCAGGGCUCCUCGCACUCUUUACUCAGUAACCCCAUGUCUCGUGGCUCCUCCACAUCAAUGCGUAAUGUAGACGCUCACAUGCUGGGACAUGAGCCUGUCUCACAUGUUACUGAUGCCCCGGAAGUGAAUCUGGCUUAUGGUGACAGGAGCCGGAGUAGCAGCAGGCGAGGAAUGGACGCCCUACUGAUUUCUGAACCCAAGAAGACAUCAGAGGUGGUGGAAGAGGUGGGAAUGACCCUUGAUGACUACAUCGAACUGGCUGAUAUUCCAAAGAUUUACUUGGAAUCUGAAGAGGAAUAUGUCGGACUUAGAAAGAGAAACCAGAGCCCCAGUCCAUGCAGAAAUCAAAGAAGCAGGAGUGAGAGGUACAUGGAUGAAACAGAUGACAGGGGACAAGUACGAGAGAGAGGAAGAGACAGGCGAGAAAAAUGCAGGGACUAUGAAAAUGGAGCGUCUCGGAGACAAUCAGUGGCAUCAGUCCACUCACAGAGUUCAGACAACCUCAAUGGGAAACACAGAUCCUCAAAGGCAAGAGAGCGUGCAGCUCCUGAGCAGACACAGACACAGAUCGUUUUUACCUAAAGGGGUGGAUAUCCAUUCUUGAUGAGCAUGGAAAGUGGAGGAAACACUGGUUUGUUUUAGGGAAAUCUUCUGUGAGGUACUACAGAGAUUCUGAAGCUGAGGAGUCUGAUGAUCCAGAGGGAGAGAUUGACUUCAGAUCUUGCUUGGAUGUGUCAGACUGUGAUGUGGACAAAAACUAUGGGUUCCAAUUGCAAACAAAGAAAGCAGUGUUCACUCUCUCCGCUAUGACCUCUAGGAUACGACGGAACUGGGUUAAGUUACUAAAGCAGGCCAUCCAGAACAAGACACAAUCUGACCAGUAACUUGGGAUGGUUUGGAAAGGUUUAAUGCCAUACUAUCAAACAUUUCAGACAAAGCAAUAACACCUCCAUGGAGAAAAGUAGGUGGCGGACCCUCUACAAG